rnacentral:lncRNA from 1 species
AACAACCACAUUGUUAUACAUUAUGCAGUGGUCAUUCGUGCUACUAAUUACAACGUGCGCUAUUAGCGUGCUAUCAUCGCCAGCCCCUCCAUGUUCCACUAACGGUGCCUUCUUUGCCGACGAUGAUUGCACGAAGUACUGGAGUUGCGCCAAUGGAAUUGCCUACGAGUUCUCUUGUCCAGCCACUUUGAACUUCAAUCCUUCUAGUGAUGUUUGCGAUUAUGCUGCCAGUGCAGGAUGCACUGGGAAGGGCUGGGAUGACCCUACUGAACCGCCUUUGGUACCAACAGGUGCUUCUACUCCAGCUCCAGACACUCCUUCUACUGCAACUUCUCCUGUAGCUCCAGAUACUCCU